rnacentral:rRNA from 1 species
CGUCUAUAUACGUAUAGCAUAUCAAUAAGCGGAGGAAAAGAAACUAACUAGGAUUCCCUUAGUAACGGCGAGUGAAGCGGGAAGAGCUCAAAUUUGAAAUCUUCAAGGUUCUACCUUGACGAAUUGUAGUUUAAAGAAGUGUUUUCUGUUGGAGUUUUGGUAAAAGUUCUUUGGAAUAGGACAUCAUAGAGGGUGAGAAUCCCGUAUUUGACCAUUAUCUCCAGCUUUGUGAUACACUUUCAAAGAGUCGGAUUGUUUGGGAAUGCAGUCCAAAAUGGGUGGUAAAUUUCAUCUAAAGCUAAAUACUGGCGAGAGACCGAUAGCGAACAAGUACCGUGAGGGAAAGAUGAAAAGAACUUUGAAAAGAGAGUUAAACAGUACGUGAAAUUGUCAAAAGGGAAGCGUUUGACACCAGUGUUGUUUUUCCGAAAAUCAAUUACGAAUGGCUUGAUUUUGUGUUGUAUUGACCUUAUCAGCUUUCUGCACUUUUUUCGAGUCUUUCUUAAUGCACUUUUUGGUUAACAAGUCAACAUCAAUUUCUUUUGUUGUAAAAGAGUAUUCGGAAGGUGGCUUUCUUUUCGGAGAAAGUGUUUAUAGCCCUAUACUUCUACAAUCGGAGAGAUUGAGGUCUGCAGCGUAGAUCCUUCGGGGUUAGAUACACUUGUGCUAAGUUGUAGCUUUUCAUGGACAACUUGUUGACUAUGUUUAGUCAUGCGGCUUACUCGCUUGUGCUAUUUUACCUACGCUUAGGAUGUUGACUGAUAUGUAGUCGU